rnacentral:lncRNA from 1 species
UCGUCCAAGUAAAAAUUCAUACACAUAUUCAUGUUUUGGUCGGGUAAGGGAUACAUAUGUAUCCAAAUUGAUAUUGUCUCAAAUGUUAACAAUAUUUUUCUUAAAAAAAAAUAUUUGCUAGAAAAGAAAAUAUUAUUAAAUAUUUAAUAUAAAAAACAUACAUUUCAUUUUUUUUAUUAAGGAACUUUGCAUAAAUAUUAAAAUAGAGUAUCAAAUAAAAAUUAUAUAAAUAUCAAAGUAAUUAUAGACAAGAGUUUUUUUUUUAUCAACAAAUUAUAGACAAGAGUAAAC